ACCAACAAUGGUAAGCCAAGUCAUGACUUGAAUUUACGUUAUUGGCCUCUGAAGUUUUCGUUCUUGUUUUGUCUUUGCAUGUGUCGAGCUAGGGUUAGUUUUGGUAUUUCGCCUUUUGUUUGGGAACGAUGGCCUUUUGCUUGGGAAAGAUUGAAAGCGAGAGAGUCGAAGUUGUUUUCCGGAUUUCACUCAGCAGAUUUGUACUCUCUUUACGGAUUUCACUCAAUUUCGGUACUUUGUGAGCCGAUUCAACUGUACUAUGUGAUCAUCACGGCACUGUUCUUACGGCUGUUACCCAGCAAACGAUCGAAAGCGAGAGAGUCGAAGUCGAUUUUUCGGAUUUCACUCAGCAGAUUUGUACUCUCUUUACGGAUUUCACUCAAUUUCGGUACUUUGUGAGCCGAUUCAACUGUACUAUGUGAUCAUCACGGCACUGUUCUUACGGCUGUUACCCAGCAAACUAUCGAGAGUGAGAGAGUCAAAGUCGGUUCUCCGGAUUUCAUUCAGCAGAUUUGUACUCUUUCCGGAUUUCACUCAAUUUCGGUACUUAGUGAGCCGAUUGAACCGUACAAUGUGAUCAUCACGACACUAUUCUUACGGCUAUUGCCAUCUUUAAAGGAGAGGCGUGAUUUUGUUAUUGCUUCACCUCAUUUUGUUAGGGCUACAAUCAAAGAAAAAGCGUGAGCAGAGGUAAAUUCCCGUUCAUUUUCACGUUUGGAUUCGAUUUCGCUUCGAUUUGAUGAUGUAGGAAAUACAGAUUUGAAUUUGUUAGAAUCCCUUUGUCAUCUUCUAUGUUUGCACCAUUCGAACAAGAGCCCUAGCUCUGGUAUAGAUGCUGGCUGUUGUCCUAUCUGUUUGGUCAAUUAUCUUUUAAAUCCGUUUAAAAUAUACACUUCUUCUAAUAUUUACGAUCAUUAUAUUCAGGUUGUUUCCCUUGAACCAGCUGAGACAUGUGCAGCUUUCAAAGCAUUAGCAUAUAAUGCAUUGUGCUGCAAACUAAUCUUCUGCGCCAAUGUACUGCAAUGGUCCAAUACAUUCGUUUAUGAGUAUGGCAGCAAUAGCAAUUUAAACCAAUGGCCUCAUGGAAUGAGUUUCUGAUUUUUAAUAACUUCAAUGCAUUGUAUUCUUUGUGCACUAUAGGUGUUUGAUGAAAAGCCACAUUUAUUUCUUAUGUCUAAUUGUCCAUAAAGUUGGUAUGGUUCUCUGGAACAAGUGAUUCAUUGCUCAUUUGUAAUGUGUUUUGAUCAUUCUUAUAAAUUCGUGGGCAAUGACACAAAAGGGGAGGUAGCCUUUUCACGCUUUUUGUCAUUAGGAGAAGUUGUUGCGAGCAAAAUUUAGGAAACUACUUACACAUUAGCUGCAUUUGUUAUUGAUAAAGGGCUCUGUUUUAGGGGUUAACUUCUUUUUUUUCCCCCUCAUAAGAGAUGUGAGACCUGAGGCAGGUUCGAUAUAGAAAGACGACAAUGUGUCUUCUAUAGAUUAAAUGUCUAUCCAAUCAAAGAGUACACGGAAUUCAUAAACUGAAUAGGCCAGGCUUUUUUUGGUUUUUGUGAUUUUUGAAGUUUUAGGCGGAGAUGACAGAAAAUGAGUCUGAUUUCAUCGAGUUGCUCGACGGUGAGCUCCAGAAGUUCAAGGAUUUUUUGUAGAGAAAUAGGGAGAGUACAUCAGCGUCAUCGUCAUGUUGCAUUAAGUUUUGGGCAUAGGGACGCAAGUAUUGUGUAUCUUUAUUAUUGCUAUAUGAACUAUAGAAAUUCUAAUGCUUGUCUUUGAAACAGAAGUUGGGCAGUGGAAAAUCACAUUCUCAUCAACCACAUUUAACUUCUUGUUUAAGUUUGUCUCAGAAUGCACAUAAUUGCCAAUUGUCCACAUGUAUGGUAGUUUGAUAAUGCAUUGUUGUUUCCACAUCCUGAUAUGGCAAUAGUUUUCUUCUUUACUUUAAGUUUGUAAUUUUUUUGUUCCACAUUUGACAAGAUGAUUGUUGAAUUAGUCCAUAAAAAGAAAGGAAAAUUAGACCACAUGAUCAUUGAGACUACAAAACAGUGGCUAUAUAUUCACAGUUUUGCUAGAUACAUUGGACUUCUCCAGUUGACGUCGUAACAUAUAUGCUAUAUAUCAACUUUACAGGAUUGACAAAUCCGGCACCAAUCGUUACUUUUUAUGCAAAGGAUCAGAUUUUUAAUGACGUUAAGCUGCAUGGUGUAGUCAUUUUGGUUGAUGCUAAACAUGCUAAUAUUGAUGUUAAGCCGAAAGGAGUGGUCAAUGAUGCAGUAGAGCAAAUUGUAUAUGUUGAUCGUAUCUCAGUCAAUGAGAUCUUGUUGGCGAGUCCUAAGUUGCUUCUUUGAUUCAACGAAUAAAGGUAUAUUGUUCUGCAAAUACUUCACCUGUCCUUCCUACUCUCCCUCGACGUAUCGAACUUGGAGUCUGAUGUCACAGUCGACACUGUUCCAAACGUGGAGAAAGAGCAUGAAGAUGUUGGUACAUAUUUUAGUCCCUCUUUUCAGAAAUUAUGAAACCGGAGAAGCAUAAUGCUUAAUCCAUACAUGCGGUUUAUUGGUUAAAAACCAAGGACCUUUAAGUGCUUUUGUUAUAUGUUUUUGCUAUUUUGUCAAUGAAGAUAAUAUAUCUUUUGCGACCUAUAUACUAAUCAAACAUUUGAACAUUUUGUUAUUCAAAUUCCUCAUAUUCCAACAUUGC